rnacentral:rRNA from 1 species
CCUACGGGAGGCAGCAGUGGGGAAUAUUGCACAAUGGGCGCAAGCCUGAUGCAGCCAUGCCGCGUGUAUGAAGAAGGCCUUCGGGUUGUAAAGUACUUUCAGCGGGGAGGAAGGUGUUGUGGUUAAUAACCACAGCAAUUGACGUUACCCGCAGAAGAAGCACCGGCUAACUCCGUGCCAGCAGCCGCGGUAAUAAUCUCUAGAGG